GACGAACGCUGGCGGCGUGCCUAAUACAUGCAAGUAGAACGCUGAAGGAGGAGCUUGCGCUUCUGGAUGAGUUGCGAACGGGUGAGUAACGCGUAGGUAACCUGCCUGGUAGCGGGGGAUAACUAUUGGAAACGAUAGCUAAUACCGCAUAACAGUAGAUGUUGCAUGACAUUUGCUUAAAAGGUGCAAUUGCACCACUACCAGAUGGACCUGCGUUGUAUUAGCUAGUUGGUGGGGUAACGGCUCACCAAGGCGACGAUACAUAGCCGACCUGAGAGGGUGAUCGGCCACACUGGGACUGAGACACGGCCCAGACUCCUACGGGAGGCAGCAGUAGGGAAUCUUCGGCAAUAGACGGAAGUCUGACCGAGCAACGCCGCGUGAGUGAAGAAGGUUUUCGGAUCGUAAAACUCUGUUGUAAGAGAAGAACGAGUGUGAGAGUGGAAAGUUCACACUGUGACGGUAUCUUACCAGAAAGGGACGGCUAACUACGUG
rnacentral:rRNA from 1 species